GAUGUGGUACAAUGUGUCAGUGCAUCUGGCUCUUAAUCAGAAGGUUGGUGGUUCGAGUCCACCCAGGGAUG